GAUGAAGAACGCAGCGAAAUGCGAUAAGUAAUAUGAAUUGCAGAAUUCAGUGAAUCAUCGAAUCUUUGAACGCACAUUGCGCCCGCCAGUAUUCUGGCGGGCAUGCCUGUUCGAGCGUCAUUUCAACCAUCAAGCCCCCGGCUUGUGUUGGGGACCUGCGGCUGCCGCAGGCCCUGAAAACCAGUGGCGGGCUCGCUAGUCACUCCGAGCGUAGUAAUACAUCUCGCUCAGGGCGUGCUGCGGGUUCCGGCCGUUAAAAAGCCUUAUUUACCCAAGGUUGACCUCGGAUCAGGUAGGAAGACCCGCUGAACUUAAGCAUAUCAAUAAGCGGAGGA
rnacentral:misc_RNA from 1 species